CUCAUCUACAUGAAAGAAGAUUACAGUGGCAGCAAAGACAAAGCAGAUUAAUAACAAAUAUUCAAUAGAUUCUGAUGUACAAAAAAAAGGAUACUCUUGGAAGCAAAAGGAAGAAGAUACAUAUAAACUCUAAUGAGGUACUGAUGUACAAAAAAAAGAUACACAUGGAAGCAAUAGGAAGCAUCUACAUAUAAAUACUAAUAAG